AACGAACGCUGGCGGCAGGCUUAACACAUGCAAGUCGAACGCACCUUUCGGGGUGAGUGGCAGACGGGUGAGUAACGCGUGGGAAUCUACCCUUCUCUACGGGAUAGCUCCGGGAAACUGGAAUUAAUACCGUAUACGUCCUGAGGAGAAAGAUUUAUCGGGGAAGGAUGAGCCCGCGUUGGAUUAGCUAGUUGGUGGGGUAAAGGCCUACCAAGGCGACGAUCCAUAGCUGGUCUAAGAGGAUGAUCAGCCACAUUGGGACUGAGACACGGCCCAAACUCCUACGGGAGGCAGCAGUGGGGAAUAUUGGACAAUGGGCGCAAGCCUGAUCCAGCCAUGCCGCGUGAGUGAUGAAGGCCCUAGGGUUGUAAAGCUCUUUCAGUGGGGACGAUAAUGACGGUACCCACAGAAGAAGCCCCGGCUAACUUCGUG
rnacentral:rRNA from 1 species